AGCGGGGAGGGGUGGGCGCUGCACUGGAGCCUUUUCUCUACGGGAGCCGGGUCGCCACUCUCCUCUGAGCCUGGGAGCAUCCCUUCAUCCCUGUUUAUUCCGUGAGUGGCCUGUGGGGACCUCAAGGCAUCCCACCCCCAUUGUCCAGCGGGCGCCGGGUGAGGUCCAGGCCUUGCCAGCACGGUUUAGUACCCCGGAGCGGGGAACACACUCAAAGACCCUACCUGGUGCCUCUUCCUCAGACCAUCGGAGAGACCGGUGUUCCGUGUCGGAACCCGCGGUCUGCUGGUGGAGAGCCUCCAGCGCCAGGAGACACGGCCUGCGAGUGGUAACUUCAUGUUUCUGAAAAAGCACGCCCGCACCCUGCCCCUCAUCCACUUUUCAUGGACCACACGGACUCGCCCAGAGAGGCCGUCUCAGCGGUGAGGGUCCUGGCCUAGGCCGUCAGCACCAUGUCACGGGGGGCUGCCCUCGGACCUGCGUGAAGACAGAGGCUCCAAGUCUUGCCGUGGGGCAGAGCAUGAUGGGAGCACAGCGCAGACCCAGCUGCGGGUCUGCUCCGCAGGCCUGGUUCUAGCUUCGCCGUCUGGAGCAGAGGUCAUCGGUGGCCUUUAGGCACUCAUCCCUCUGAGACUCAGUUUGCUGGUUCUGUGGAGUGGGCAUGGUGGCUGGUGCCCCUGAGCCUUUGUCUAGGAUCCUACUCGUACGUGAGAUGUGAGCGCACAAAGCCAAGACCAGGAGGAAGGUGGCGCCCCAGCAUGGCGGCCAGGCUGCUUGGGCGCCCACUUCCGGUUGCUGGCCUGGAUUCUGCCUGCGGGGCAGAGAGGCCUACUGCUCUCGGGGCAGACGGCGUGUGGCCCAGCCUACACCCCGGCAAGGUGAGGCUUUGGCUCUGUCACCUUUCACGACUCCUCAAAGUGGAGGGACCCAGUCUGGGCCGUGGGACCCUAAGGUGUUCAUGUGAUUUCAUUUCCGGCUCCCAGUGGGGAGCGCCAGCCCGCCUGAGGCCGGCUCAGAGGACGUGAGCUGUUGCCAUGUGAAAACCAGUGAUUUUCCCAAACAGUGAGCAGUCCUGGUGAGGUCAUGGGCCCUGCGCGAGGGCCCAAAUCGAAUCGGUUCUGGUGCCGUGUGGGCUCCCGGAACACCGCCCCGAGGUGACGACAGCCUGGCUCGGGGGCAGGGGGGUGCCGGGGCCUGCCCGCGGGGCUCCCUGCGUGUUUCUGGGGCCACAUUUCAGAAACGAAGUCCACUCAGAGGAGGGCAGGGCUCAGCAGACUCCCCCGGGUCCAGGGCCCCCAGAAACAGGGCCCUGGGGCACCGGAUGGCCCAUGUCCCCACAGCAGCAGCAGCAGCCGCCCGGGGUUUGGAGCAGGACAGC